UCAAAUGCUUAUUCGUAUACAAUAAACAUAGUCCAUAAAGUGUUAAUUUGUGUAUCUCGUAGAUACUUUUCCACAAGCAUACGAAGACGCAAAUGCGACAACACGACACAACACACACGUUAUACGUUCAUGUAAUUCCAGCGUGCAACACUAGCUUUCUCACUUACACCACUGCUACCGUUACGAGAAAAAUACAUAAAUAUCUCGUGCUGGAGCUGUUGCCGCUUUCCAGGAAGAAGAGUGUAUCCACAAGUGUGCAAAAUAUUGUUGUUUGAAAACGUAAGCGGGCAGUGGGACGGUGGCCAAGUCAACCGAAGUGCAUCGGUGUCGUUCUGAACUGGCGCUGAUCUGAGCAGAGGCAAGAAAAUCUCAGUUGUUUCGGAAAAUUGAAAGCGUUCGCUUGUGUUAAGUGCGCAAAGUGUGCGGUUUUGUGCUAAAGAAAGGUUUUGCCGUGUUUUAACGGGGACGUAGACGAAGACGAGGACGACGUCGUCGGUGGUAAACGGAUUCAUUUCGACGAAUUUCUAUAUGAGAUUUCUCUUUCGAGCCAAUGAUUAUAUGUGAAUUGUCGCCAGACAAAAGUUUUGAAAAUAAAAUACCUGGUUGGCACAACGUGUGUGAGUUUUGUGUGUUUUGGAUACAGCAGCUUCACCAAUCACAUGCAUUAGUUGGCACCAGCUGGAGCAACAUUUUUUGUGUAUAAUUAAAUGAGUGUACCAAGCAGGAUUCUGGUGAAAAAUAUACAUUUUCUCAACAGAAAAUUCUGACAAAUAUUUAAAAAAUGUAUUUGUGUCGCAAGUGCAACAAAUAAGUGUGAAAAUGUACGCAACUCAAAGCAGUUAAAGUGCCGAAAAUUGCAUUAAAAAGUGUAAACGCAAAUUGAGUUUAUAAUAGUGAAUAAAAAUUCUUCUAAAACCAAAUAAAUAAUGUUGCGUUAAAAAAUUUGUAUAAUAAAACAAAAUCAAAAAAAAAAAAUAAAAAAAAAACGCACGAAAAUAUCCUGUUUAGAUUUAGGACGAAAACAAUAGCACGUCUACACAACAAAACAACCCAAACUACACACGAGUAUGCUUGUAAAUAACAACAACAACCCUACAAAUGUUACGGUAAAGAGCGAGAAUAAAAAGGAUUUGCAAAUAAAAUAUUGAAAAUCAAAUGCAAAUUGUAAAUUUCACCGAACAAAUAGUGCAAAACGUAGAAAAGCGCAGGAAAAGCCAGCCAAAGACUGCGCCAAUCAGCGGUGAAAAAUACGAAAUACGUCGGAAAAAUAUCUAAAUAAAAGCAAUUUUCAAUGGAAAAUACGUAAAUGCGAAGUGGGAACCCCGUUAAAAGCACACAAAGCGCAUUGCCUUGCAUUGGUGAAGUCAAAGCGAAAUGUGUAAAAAAUAAUUGGCAGUGAAUAAAAAAAAAGUGUCAAAUACAAAGCCAAAAUAAAAAGUGACGAGAAAAACGACGUGUGUGUGUGCACAACGCGAAGCGCAAAGCGAAUGCGCGGCAGUGAAGGUUGUUACACGUGGAGCGCUAUAGUGGCUUGUGGCUGCGACGGUUGAUCAGGUUGAUACGUUGCGGAAAAUCCUUUGUUUUCACUUUGGCUUUCCGGCCAAAACUAGCAGCUAUACAGGCGCACAAAAUAAAAAAAAAUAAAAAUAAAUUGAAAUCAUAAGCUCUCGGCAAAUUUUAAUGCAGUUAAACCGAUGUGAGUCCACCACCUCAUCUGCGCCAUCUAAAUACGUAAACACGCAUAAGAACGAAAUCGAAUACUCGCAUGCCUUUUAUGGAAAUACCCGCCGAUUUGUCUAACAAUAAUAACAACAACAACAAUUGUUAAAGUACGCCGCGAAAAUUUAGUUGCUGCACACUGCCAACCAAGCGAAAGGCAUAUUUAGCGAAAAAACCCACGUCAACCGCGACCGAACGGCUGCCGGCAAACGCCACACUACAAUCCCGAUUUCAUGAUUUUCCACCGCACAGCACGCGCAACUGUUUAAGGCUAGCUGCCUAGUCGCCUGCCGCGUCUCGCUGUAUUCUGUGUUUGUGUGGCUGCGGGAAUUUUCGGUGCGUCGUCGCCGCCGUGUUUGUUGUGGAAAUUUGGCAAUUUCACUGGCACAACGGUGUGCACUUUAGCCUUGAAACCGCAUAGCACACAUUCAGGCGUUCGGCAUUACACAUGCCUGUACAUAUAAAGAACGCUUGAAACGCAUUGUAUAGUGCAGUCGGUUGAGCGUCGCUUAACUGUUGGUGUUUACCAGUAAAUGCGCUUGGCACAACAAUUUACGUACUAACGUUUGUAACGGAUUUCGGUAAUCAACGGCGCAUAGCGCGUCUAUCAUUCAAUUUAAACUUUGGAGACGAAGUAAAGUGUGUCGCGGUGUUUUUGCUGUGUUCUCUAACGCGUCGCGGUAAAACGUGUUGAUGAACUGCAAUUUAGUAUUAACGCUCAAAUACUUUUCUGUUGUUGCUGUUGUGAAACAAUAAUGUCAUCAAAAUGUGGAUUAAACCUGAUUUUCGUGUCGAUCAUUUUCAUUAUCAUCGUAAAUGGCUACGCAAAAGACAUUUCCGGAAUUGAAAGAGAUCAUCGUCGACUCAACGAAUACAUAUCGCACUUUGAAGUACUCAACUAUGAUCAUGAACACAUCCGAACUAGUCACAAUAGAGCAAGACGAUCCGUGACCAAAGAUCAUCAUGUAGAUUUAAAAUUUUCAGCACACGGAAGACACUUCCAUCUUAGGCUAAAGCGUGAUUUAAAUACAUUUAGUGAUAAAUUAGAGUUUUAUGAUAGCAACAAUCUCCCCCUGGAUGUGUCCACUGAUCACAUCUACGAGGGCGAAGUGAUAGGGGAUCGUAAUAGUUAUGUAUUUGGUUCCAUACUGGACGGGGUAUUCGAGGGUAAAAUAAUAACAGAACGUGAUGCCUAUUAUGUCGAACAUGCCAAACGAUAUUUUCCAACAACAAAUGCAACAGCAGCAGCUGCGAAUGGCGCACAAAUGCCAUUGGCGCAGCGACGCGUCGCAGAGCAAUAUUUUGGAACAACAACAACAACAACAUUAACGACGUCGACGACGAGCGCAACAAGAACAACAUCGCCAGCGCCAGCGCCAGAAACAACAACCUCCACAACAACGGCGAGUAUGACGACAACGUCUGAGAGAACGUUGAAAGCAUCUCCAACGUCCGGCGGAAAUCAUAAAAACGGACAAACUGAUGACAAUCGGAAUACUGGCUUCCAUUCCAUUAUUUACAAGGACUCACAUGUUGACGAUGCUUACAAGGACGUGCGUGAAGGGCAUGUUGGUGGUUGUGGCAUUACCGAGGAAGUUUCCCAAUGGAUGGAGAGCAUACAAAAUUCUGCCGUCGAAGAGUUGCCGGAACCGAUGUCGAAGGACGAUGUUAGACAGCAAAAGCAACAGCACAAAUUAAUCAAACCGAAUAGCGCGCGAAUGACACAGACGCAAGAUGCAGCAGAACAAGUUGGAGAUAAUGCUGCACAACCGACAAACAAGAAGCAUAAAAAGCCUACUGCCGCAUCAGCAACAGCAACAGCAACAGGCGGAAUAAACUCGCAACAGCGUCCACCGAAAAAAUACUCAAGUCCCACAGCAGCAGCCUCAACGACGUCGUCAUUGCCAACAGCGAGCGGUAACUCAAGGACAGCCAAGGAUGCCGCCAGCAGCAGCAUUGGCGAGGAUGACUUCAAAUAUCCUUAUCAAAAAUACUCCAAAGCUGCAAAUUUUCGCUUCGAUGAUGACGGUGACGCGUGGCGGCCAUUUUCGCCGAAGGCACAAUCCGAUGAUAUUUAUGGCCUGCCAAGCGGCAGCGGUAGCGGCUACUCUGGUGCAUUUUAUGACCCGGAAACAGGGCGCAAGUAUACGCCGCAAAGCAUGGAUCGUGACGAAUGGCAUGCGAAGGUGCAUGAACGUGUGCGCCGCGCUACCGCCGCUAAUCCGAACGAGAACAAGAAUACCUGUUCACUGUACAUACAAACGGAUCCGUUGAUUUGGCGACAUAUACGCGAAGGAAUUGCUGAUCAUGAUCGUGGCCGCAAAUAUGAGGUUGACGUAAAAACGCGUGAGGAGAUCACUUCAUUAAUCGCACAUCAUGUAACUGCCGUUAAUUAUAUAUAUCGCAAUACGAAAUUCGAUGGACGUAGCGAGCACCGCAACAUACGAUUUGAGGUGCAACGCAUAAAAAUCGAUGACGACUCCGCUUGUCGCAAUUCAUACAAUGGUCCGCACAAUGCCUUCUGCAAUGAGCACAUGGAUGUGUCGAACUUUUUGAAUUUGCAUUCGCUGGAGGAUCAUUCAGACUUUUGUUUAGCCUAUGUGUUCACUUAUAGAGACUUUACCGGCGGCACGCUGGGCCUAGCUUGGGUAGCCAGCGCUUCUGGUGCUUCGGGUGGCAUUUGUGAGAAAUUCAAGACUUACACCGAAACGGUCGGUGGGCAAUAUCAAAGCACAAAACGCUCGUUAAAUACGGGUAUUAUAACAUUCGUUAACUAUAAUAGUCGUGUGCCGCCGAAGGUGUCGCAACUGACGCUGGCGCACGAGAUCGGACACAAUUUCGGAUCACCGCACGACUACCCGCUGGAAUGUCGUCCUGGUGGUCUCACUGGAAACUUUAUUAUGUUUGCUAGCGCGACCUCUGGCGAUAGGCCGAAUAAUUCCAAAUUUUCACCGUGUUCCAUACGUAAUAUCUCCAAUGUACUCGAUGUUUUGGUCGGCAAUACGAAACGUGACUGCUUCAAGAUAUCGGAGGGCGCUUUCUGUGGCAACAAGAUCGUCGAAUCGGGCGAAGAGUGCGAUUGUGGUUUCAACGAGGAGGAAUGCAAGGACAUUUGUUGCUAUCCACGCAUCAUCAGCGAAUACGACCUGUCGAUGAACAGUUCCGCAAAGGGUUGUACGCGCCGCGCCAAAACGGAAUGCUCGCCUUCACAAGGUCCUUGCUGUCUGUCGAACUCAUGCCAGUUUGUGCCAUCGAACAACCACCAGAAAUGCAAAGAGGAGACGGAAUGUUCCUGGUCGAGCACAUGCAAUGGCACCACUGCUGAGUGUCCGGAGCCAAAGCCGCGUGAUGAUAAAACAAAAUGCAAUAACGGCACUGCGCUCUGCAUACGCGGUGAAUGCUCUGGCAGUAUUUGUCUGCUAUGGAAUAUGACCGAGUGUUUCCUCACUUCGCAAGCGGUGCCGCAUGUCGACAAGCGUCGCUUGUGCGAACUCGCCUGCCAGAAUGGCAAUGAUACUGGCACUUGUCGCAGCACUAGUGAAUUUGCGCGUCAAUUUGGAUUACCGGAGGGCGGCAUUAACCUGCGGCCUGGCUCACCGUGCGACAACUUCCAGGGCUAUUGUGAUGUAUUUCUCAAAUGUCGCGCCGUUGACGCAGAUGGACCGCUAGUGCGACUGAAGAAUUUAUUGCUGAAUCGCGAAACUUUGCUGACUGUGGCACAGUGGGUCACCGAGUAUUGGUACUAUGUAGUUAUAAUGGGCGUAGGCUUUAUAAUUGUGAUGGGCAUUUUCAUUAAGUGCUGCGCCGUGCACACGCCCAGCUCGAAUCCGAAGAAGCGACGCGCUCGCCGCAUUAGCGAAACGUUACGAGCGCCUAUGAAUACGCUACGCCGUAUGCAGCGUAAUCAUCAAGGGCGUGGUGCUGGGCCACGCAGCAUACCACCGCCUGCACACGAACAACGCGGCGGCGCUGCGGCCAGCAGUCAUCAUCGCAGCGCACAUCCACAUCAUUGGGACCGUCAUCAGGGUGGUCAUUCCGUGGUGCCGCUUCCUACCGGCGGCCCACAACAUAAUCACCAUCACGCUGCAGGGCGUACAGCGGCAAGUGGCGCAACAGCUGCAGCAGCAAGUGGGCGUGCGCCAGCUAAUGGACGUGGCUCGCGGCCGUCAACACGCCCCACGAGCGGUACACGCAGCACAACACAUGGCGGGUAUGCAGAUGUGCCGCCACCUGGUCUUGUAGUUGGUGGUGUUGCCACUGGCGUUAGUAGUGGUGGUGGUGUUGGAGUUAGUGGUGCGCCCAAUGGCGCGCUGUUAGUUAGCGGUGGUAGUGGCGGCGGCGUUGGUGGAGGACCCAGCGCUGGUGUGAUAGCACGUCAGCAAAUGCCGCUGCCACUGCCGCCAACCGGCGCGGUACAAGCGCAACAAUUGCAGCAACAACAACAAGUGCAGGCAACACUCUCACAAGCAUAUUAUGCGCCGCCGAAAGCACCGGCCGCCAAACGAAAUAAAUCCCGUAAUCCAGCAGCACACACCUCUUCGGCUGCCGCUGGCAGGCGCUCUUCCAAAGAGUCGCCGCAGCGCGCACAGCAGGCCGUCGCAAAAAAAACCCGCAAGGUCGUUUACUGAACCCAUAUACGUGUACCUACAGAUCUCCACACCACAACAAGUGCUCUAUAUAGAUAUUUUUCCACGUUCUCACUCUCACCAAAUUGCCGUCGCUCCGCAACCAGCAAAUUAUAAUCGGCCGCCAUCGCUGCAUAAUCCUGAACUGUAUGCGGAUGCCUAUGCCGCGCUGGGACGGGGGGCGUAUGAGGCGACCACACGCCCACCCAACAGCAAAGUUUGACAGCAGCAACGGCAGUCAGCAGAGCAGCAGCAGCAGCAACAGCGAAAAUCAACAGCAACAAAAACCACUGCAGAAACAACACAAAAAUCAAAUGAACUCAAAUUAAAUGUAAAUGUACUUUUUACGCUAAUUAUUAUUAUAUAAAGUAAACACAAAAUAUAAAAAUAUAAGAUUAAAUAAAAUACAAAAAAAAAACAAAAAAAAAAUGCAAAGGCAACAAAGAAAUUAACAAAAAGUAAAUAAAAUACAUAUAUAUAUAUAUAUAUUUUUUAAAUUAAUUGAUAUACAAAAUACACAAAAAAGUACAUAAAAAUAAUCAAAAAAUUAAAAAAUAUAUAAAAUAAUUAAUUAAAAGUAAGAAAACUAAAGUAAAUAGUGAAAAAGUGUGUAAACAUAUGUAAAAUGUGAAUUUCGAAGUUGAAUAAAUUGCGAUGAAAGAAAAAGGCAUAAUACUGAAAUAUAUAGUUAAUACAAUUUAAAAUGUAAAUUACAAAAAACCAAACAAAAAAUUGAUAUUUUGUGCAGAAUAUUACAAGUAAGCUGUUAAGAAACAUAUUAAGCAAUGUGAAUGUCGAAAGAAAUGCAUAGAAACCAAACGCAAGCACGUCAAAAAGACUAUAAAGCAUAUUGAUAAAAAAAAAAUGUAGACAUAAAUUUAAUUACACAUUACUGAUAAAAGAAAUAGUUACGUAAAGUUCAAUACUACUACUAAUGCAGGGCAUGGAACAAGGUUCAUAGAGCACAAGAUUGAGCCACUGGUUAGCAAAAGAAAAAUGUCUUUUAUAAUUUUUUUAUAAGCAAAUUAACAUUUAUAAUGUUCAUUGAUGAUCUAAAUUUAUUUAGUUGAAGAAUUAUUUAAACCUUUUUUAAAUUCUGAUUGUUAAACAUGAUACAUAGCAAUUACUUUUUAAAUUUUUUUCUUGCUAUUAUAAACUUGAACAGUCAGCGCUUCAGCCAAAAUUCUUGUGUAUCUGUAAGCGAUCAUUCCUCUCCUACUAACUUUCAGCAUUAAAAUAAAAUAAUAUAUAUCGUGCUCAUAGUGGAUACACCGAUAAAAUACCGAAAGCAGCUACCGUAUACAGCGGUUAGUCUGAACAAAAAUUACAUGCACACUUUCUGUGGAGAUGCUCCCAAUAUACACGAAACUAUAACCGAUGUAAAUUGGGUAGUAGUAUUACCAUAAAUUCAAUUCGAUUACAAAUUGCACGUACACUUUUCGUAAAGCUGCUCAUAAAAUACCUGAAACUAUUUAAGUUGUUGUUGUUGUAGCGGCAGAACUCCGCGGAGUUGACAGUCCUUGGCCGGUUAAAAAUCCGGGUCCGUUCCGGUUACGUUGACCCGACUGUCAUGGGAACGGAAACUAUUUCUGAAACCAUUUUACCACAUGCAGCGAUAAUAAGUUCAAAGAAGAAGCUCGAUUGUUUAUUUUAUGAGGUAUGAGGGAAAAGUUAGGAUAAAUUAUUAUAUACAAUUUACAAUUUCUCGUAUAUAAUAUGUGUGUACAUACAUGGUUUUCCUGAAAAUUAUUUUAAUAUUUGUAUUUGAGUUUCGGGUAGUCGGGACUUGCUGAAACGUGACUGUCGCACAACAAUUAUUUUAUUUCAACAUUAGAGUGGUGGUGAUCUUCUCUUUUAUGGAUCUUGGGUGUGAGCUCCGUUGUAUAUGAAUUGCAAAUUUUUAUUGUAGUUGUGUUUGAUUGUGUCACAAUAGCUGAACAAUUCGUUAUUCAAAACAAAAAAGUUAGAAUUUUUUAUAUUUUCAAAAAUUAACACAUUAAUUACAUAAUACAAAUGUUAAAAAAUGAUUUUGGUAGCAAGCCAUUAUGAAAAGCGUGAAGUGAGUGUAAAAAUUUAAUGGGAAUGCAUUAUUUUUAUAUAACUAAAUUUUGUUGUUUUUGAAAAUUGGCGCUAUGUGGGCAAGCAGCCUUGGUCUACAGUUUGUUAGAGAGAGAGAGAGAGAGAGAGAGAGGAAAGUAAUUUUAUAUAUGUAUAAUCGUUUUUAUUACAAAAAUUAAUAAAUGUAAAAUAUUUUAAAGAAUCAAAUUUUAAUAUUCAAAACUGUUUAGUUGCAAAUUUUUAAUUUUCAUAUAUAUAAAAGUGCGUUGUCAAUAUCUUAAAUCACAAAAUCGUUAAUUAAAAGAUUUUAAAAAUUUCUAAAGAUUAGAGUUUACUUUAAAAUUCCAUUAUUUUAUUAUAUUUAAAAUUCAUUGAAGAAUUAUCUAAUUAUAUUUUUAAACUUAUAUGCAAGAGCAAUUGAAUUUGUAUCUAUUUGCAAAAAUAUGAAAAAUUUAAAUAUUUCAAAAAUUUAAAUAUUUCAAAAAUUGAAAUAAAUAAAACGUUUCAUAAAAACGUAUUACAAAAUGUAGUGCUAGGAUAAAUUUUAAAAAAGGUUUUCCAGACUAUUUAUAAAAAAAAUAUUCGAAAAGAGUGCUACAAUGAAUUAUCAAAAGCCUUUCAGAUUUUUUAAAAAUUAUUUAAAAAAAGUGCUACAAUGAAUAUUGACAAAGCUUUUAUAAUAAAUUUAUUAAUUAUGUGGUAAAAAUUAUUUACUUAUAAUUUAUUAAAAAUACAAGAUAUAUACUUUUUAUAAUAAUGUCUCAAUAUUUGUUAUUGAAUUAUAUGCUGAGGGGAAGUGAGAAAAACUAUUGUUUUUCAAAGCUUUUUCUUUAUGAAAAUUGAGCGCAAACUGAUUGAUGUUUGUUGUAAUAUAAAUAAUGCUCGAAAGAUUUUCUUUAAAUUUUCCCAGAAUCUAGUUGUUACAAAAACUUUUAUGUAUAUUGGAAUCUAAAGUUUGAAGUUUAUUGAAAUCGAAACUAGAAGCAAUCUUAUUUAAACUUCAAAAACACCUUGCAUUAAGAAAAUACUUUAUAUAUGUUUAACAGGUUUGUUUCUUUAAUGCUAACCACCACUUCACUAGCCAGUCAAGUAUCUGCUGGAAAAGCGUAACCUAAAAAACUAGCAGAAGAGAGAACAAAUAGAGAGCGUAAAAAGCAGAAAGAGAGCUGCUAGUUUCUGCCCGUGAAAUAUCUGCUGGCAGGUUUAAUUUUCAAACGUUGAUAUGAUGUGAUUUCAAAAAACAACAUUUUCAUAUUUUCUUGCUAAUAUCUGCAAGUUUUUCGAUGACUAGCUGCUACUAGCACUACAGAAACAAAACUAUAUAUAGUAAACAUGAAAAUUAAUUUUAAAUAUUUUUUGAGACAAUUUCAAUAGUUCAUGAAAUAUUUUAUAAAAACCGUAUUUGCACAGUUUUAAAAUGUACAUAUGUAUAUGAGAAAAAGUAUCAGAAAUUUUCGAAAAAUCUACAAUACUUCUUUAUUAAUACGUAUCUCGGCUGCUGCCCUGGCACUUCCAUGCUCUGAUUACUAUUGAUUAUUCGAAGAUAUACAAUAUAAUUCGCUACAUUGCUGCAUUGUAUAGACAUAAUUAAGAUAAGCUUGUUUCUUAAAAUUUUCUUCGUGAAUGCCUCAUUAUUUUAAAUAUAUAUUAGUUUACUUUUAAAUGGUUACCUUAUGUUAUAUAAUAUACAUAUGUAUAUGUAUAAAAAAAAAUAUUUUUUAAAGCAUAUAAAGUCAUAAAUACCACAGAUGUUUGCUUUAAUGCGUUCAUUAUUUUUAUAAAAAAAAGUUUAAGAUAUAAUUUAAAUUUAUUUAUAAAUAAGUUUUUACAAGUAAGUACGACCCUACAUCAAGAAUUAAGAUAAAUUAUGCAAUCAAACGAGUUGUAUAUAAAUACCAUACUUAUCUAUUUUAUAAAGUAAAAUUUCCGAACUGCGAACAAAAUUGUAAACUUUUUACUCAUUUAUGUUUGUAUGCUAAAAAAGUAUAAAUAUGUGUGUUUAUGUUUACCUCAUAGAUUUUUUAGCCUUAUCUCUUUGCAUUAGUUAAGUGUCAAUAUGAAGGAUAAGUGGGCGCAUUUGCAUUGUAAGUGCUAUUAUGUAAAUCCAGUUUUGAUGAUAAAAAAAAGUGCUUUUAGUAUUUUUUAGCUAUAAACAUAUGAAAUUUUAAAGAGCUUCAAAGAGCUAUAUAUGAAAUUGUAAUAAAAUUUAGUAAUGUAUUACCCUUUGCAAAUAAUUUGAAAUUUUAUGAAUGUAUUCAAACCCACCUAACAGCGAAGUUGUGGAGAACUUUGUUUUUGUAUUUCGUAUUUUAUAAUAAAUAUUUCAUAUUGUGUUAGCUUAUUUUGAAAAUUAUGUAGCUUAUCACUGUCCGAUAUUGUAGUAAAUAAAUAUGCUUUUAUUUUAUAAAUUUAUAAGUUUUCUUUUGGAUUUUUUACAAUUUACUUUAUAAUUGAGAAUGCUUAAUUGUACUCGAGUGCUUACCGCCGUGUUGAAAAAAGACAUAUUAAAAUUGUAGUAAACUAACUAAAAAUCUACACGUAUAUAUAUGUUUUUUAACCAGAAAUUAUGUAUAAUAUUUUUUUAUUUUUUAUUAUUUGUGAAAAAUAAUUUUCUGCACUACAAACACACACAUUUACAGCUUAGAAAAAUUAAAUUCAACUUUGUAUUUGAUUCUUUAUGGAAGCAUGGUUUAAUUUGCGGACAGACCCAAUUUAAUAAUUUUUUUCAUCUUCGUAUCUCAGAAACGGGAGCACUUAGGAGCUAAGUAUUCAUACACUUUUACAGCUAAUUUUAUGGUCUUAAACUUUUCGCCAAGGUAGUUUUUGAUACAAAUUAAAGUUUCAUUGAAAAUCUAAAAAAAAAAUUUUUUUUGACCUUUGAACAUAUUUACUAACUGUAAACUUGUUGUAAUUCUGUAUAUAAAUAUGUAACUUCACUCUUGUUUCCUGUCUAAUUUGACUGAACUAUUUUAUUUCUAUUUGUGUUUUACAGCUUGGUAUCUUUUCUACUUUAUUAUAUAUUAUAUUUUGCAGGUUAUAUAUGAAACCGAAUUUUUUUAUUUCAUUGGUAUUAGCCCAGGCCUAAAAGCAUGUCAUAAAUAUAUAUAAAACUUUUGAUACAUGGACCCCAAACACUUUAGUCAUUAUUUGUAUUUUUCAUUCCUAAAUUCUUUACUCAGGCAAAUGCAGGAAUGUAGAAUGAAUCUGAACAACUUAUGUUCACAUAACUUUUUUCGUAUACCAAAACAGAUAAUUCUAUAAACUUGACAAAGUUUCAGCAGUUAUCUUGGGUCAGUUGCACGACUUUCUAACUAUUAGUUACAUAUUGUUUAGACAAUUAAGAUACUGAAAAAACUUAGUUGUGACCAAAACCGUUUCAUUUGUAUUUCUGUUCGAACUGACUCCGGCGGAGACGACUUCGUAAAAUCAGUGUUAUCAUAGUGCUUAUACAUACAUAACUAUUUAAGCAUGUUUGGUAUUGGCUCAAAAUUUUUCAAAUAUAGUUUAAUGUUGGAAACAGUUACCGACGUUCCGCUCUUCCGUACUUACCGCCGGUAUUAAACAAAAUUUGUCAAAAGUUAUGUCCGUAGUGGCAACGUAGAAAUCAGUUGUUCUCUUUUAUUUUCAUUUCACCAAUGCUCAUUUUCUAUACAUGAUUUUGUUCACAUUUAGCUUUUCAGUUAUAAUUUUUCAUAAUUUAAAAGCUCAAAACUAAAAUUCAACUAUUAAAAAUAGUCUACCUAUUUAUAUAUAAAUGUAUUCGAUUGUGAUUUUGAGAUAGUUUAAGAAUAUUUCAAAUAUUGUAUAUUCAAGUGUUUUUGUAAUGACUACAAAAUCCUUGCGUUGUAAGAGAGCUAGUGAGAGCAAUCACCUAACUUGUGAGAGCAACUCGUUUCUAUGUAAAAAAAACCCCAAUUUUUGCGGAUACUGCGAUCGGUGGAAGCGGUGGUGUGUGUUCAUUUACAUCGCGCUCUCAUAAGAUAGGUCGUAUCAGCUGAUUCGGUAUACGGUUUUGCGUCGGUGACUGUUUCCGUCAUUAGACUCGUUACUUUUAAAUGUGUUUGAUAAGGAAAAACAUCAUUUUGUGACAUCUUCAACGAAAGACUUUAUUUAGGAAAUUUAUUAUUAUGGAAAUUUUGCCGUUCGCUUCUUGAACUCUGAUAUUUGAAAUUGUCUAAGUAACUUAAUUUUGUCUCGAAUAAAAGAGAAUGGAUUCCUUCUAACUACCUACCUAAUUACCAAUUCUGUUCCAAUGUGAUGCCGACGUCGGAACGAAGUUUCAAAAAGCUUCUGAUAAUAAACUUGUAUUUAGCCAUAAUUUAAGAGCCACAGCAGUUCCUUGUUUGUUGAAAUCAAUUGCCUUUAUCGCAUCUCCUUAUUUAACAUUAAAUUGUUAUAAAUUAGUUUACCAAAUUGAUUUAGCUUUCGAUUCUUUAGUUAUACUUUCUCAAAAACUACAGUCAGCAUACUCUGACAACUGCUAGUAAUGAGUUACUGUUUGAUUGUGUCGACAACUGUACUAACAAAGGGUUGUCAAUGGUAAUACUAACUACAAGGUGUUCACAACUCAACCUGACUGUAUCUAGUUCUAACUCGAUUUGUUAUCGAUUGCAAAAAUUCAACUCAAGUGGGCGGUAUUGAAAACUGUAAUUGGGGUAUAGAUAUAGCGUCGAAUUGUGCUAACAUUAUACUAUCUAUGCUGAGAAAUAUAGAAUGCGAAAGUGGUCGACGGUUUUUAAAAGAAAAGUUUUUAAGUGGCACAUAACAUACAUUUCCUCACAACCUCUCCCUUAAAGAAAUAUGUUGAUUUGUUCAGAAGUCACAGAGGUGAAAAACAAACGAAAUAUUUAAAUUUUCAGAAUGUUUCACACUUUUAAAAUUUACUAAAAUUUUAUUAUUGUUUGUUAAGGUUUAACAACUGAGGGACUUGGUAGGAUUUGGAUUAAUAUAUAGCAUACUUCUUAGUAUUUAAAAAUUUAAAAAAAAAUUCGUAAACUUAUAAUUAUAUAUCUGAUACUUUUGAACUUAAAUUCAACUCAAACUUAUUUCAUUAAAUGAAAUUUGUUUUUGUUAACUUUUUAAUGAAAUCGUGUUUCGCUAAGUAAAUUUCGUCUCUAUACAUUUUUUUAGUUUUUAUUUUACACAUACUCAAAAAAAAACUUAAUUACUUUAAAUAUUAUUUUUUAGUAUUAUAAAAUUGUAUUUCCCUUCAUUUUGUUUUUGAAAAUCUUCCACAUUCUCCUCAUGUUUUUUAACAUUUUUGUAUCAUCUAACUUUCUAGUAUUAUAAACUGUAAAAUUUUUGCUACACGAAUGAAUGAUUGUCUGGAUGUAUUGAACUACUCUGCUCAAAGAAAAAUGUAAAAAGCAAAUAAAGUAAGGUUAGCACCGAAAGUAAACAAACAAAUACAAAACGCGUGAAGAAAUUCUUAAGAAGUAUAUAAAAAUAUGAAACUUAAAGUUACAAAGUAUUAAAGAAUAAGAAAAAAAUCAAAACGCGAAAAAAUAAAUUUAAAAAAAAUAUAUGCAAAAAUAUUCUAACAACUGUAAAUAUUGAACUCUAAAUAUAUUAGGUUUACUAUAAAUAAAGCAAAAGCGAUAUUUGAAUAUAAAUAAUUAUGCAAAUAAAUAUUAAUGCGUAUAAAAGCUAAGUAAGUGCAUAUUAGCCGCUAAGUGCGAAUUAAAGAAACUUAUUAAAUAAAAUAAUAUUGAACAAAAAAAAUAAAAUAGAACCAACUUAUAAUAACUCUCAUUAAGUGUAAGCGUACGCAAAGAUAUACAUAGGUAAAAGUCAAAACUUCAAUUUAUUGGCAACAAUUCA